rnacentral:rRNA from 1 species
AAUAUUGCGCAUGAGUGGCAACCCUGACGCAGCGACGCCGCGUGAGUUAAGAUGGCCUUCUGUUUGUAAAACUCUGUCCUCAGGGAAGAAGGAAGUGACGGUACCUGAGGAGGAAGCUCUGGCUAACUACGUGCCAGCAGCCGCGGUAAUACGUAGGGGGCGAGCGUUGUCCGGAAUUACUGGGCGUAAAGGGUGCGUAGGCGGCCUUGUAAGUCAGAUGUGAAAGACCACAGCUUAACUGUGGGGUUGCAUUUGAAACUGGAAGGCUUGAGUAUCGGAGAGGGUAGUGGAAUUCCAAGUGUAGCGGUGAUAUGCGUAGAUAUUUGGAGGAACACCAGUGGCGAAGGCGACUACCUGGACGAAAACUGACGCUGAGGCACGAGAGCUAGGGGAGCAAAC